GGCGAGUGAGCGGCAAAAGCUCAAAUUUGAAAUCUGGCACUUUCAGUGUCCGAGUUGUAAUUUGAAGAAGGUAUCUUUGGGUCUGGCUCUUGUCUAUGUUUCUUGGAACAGAACGUCACAGAGGGUGAGAAUCCCGUGCGAUGAGAUGUCCCAGACCUAUGUAAAGUUCCUUCGAAGAGUCGAGUUGUUUGGGAAUGCAGCUCUAAGUGGGUGGUAAAUUCCAUCUAAAGCUAAAUAUUGGCGAGAGACCGAUAGCGAACAAGUACAGUGAUGGAAAGAUGAAAAGAACUUUGAAAAGAGAGUGAAAAAGUACGUGAAAUUGUUGAAAGGGAAGGGCUUGAGAUCAGACUUGGUAUUUUGUAUGUUACUCUCUCGGGGGUGGCCUCUACAGUUUACCGGGCCAGCAUCAGUUUGAGCGGUAGGAUAAGUGCAAAGAAAUGUGGCACUGCUUCGGUAGUGUGUUAUAGUCUUUGUCGAUACUGCCAGCUUAGACUGAGGACUGCGGCUUCGGCCUAGGAUGUUGGCAUAAUGAUCUUAAGUCGCCCGUCU
rnacentral:rRNA from 1 species